rnacentral:lncRNA from 1 species
GUCAAAAUUUAGUGGGUUUUUUUUUUUUUGUUUGUUUUUUUUUGUUUUCUUUUCUUUUGUUUUGUUUUGUUUUUGUCUCUUAUCAUCAAAGACUCCAGUAAAGUCUAUGGUCUUGACAUUGAAUCUCUAUCAAGAACUGACUCAGGAAAUGUCUCAAGUAGCUAUGAUCACAUGAAAAUAUUGCCUGAGUUUCUGUAACACUACUUUAGUUGGACACAUAGACAUUUCAGUUCAUGGUGUUUUUAUUGUACAGCAUGGAUGGAUGACCAGAGGAACACCUUGCAUUUCCUGUUUGGAGAAACCGAGGCACUGAUGACACCCUGAAGAAAGGGCACACACUCACACAAAUAGCCAAACAGUCAGAAUAUAGGAAGAUUAUAAAAUUAAUUAAAAGCCAGUUCCGUGAAUUCUAGCAAUCUAUUCUUUCUAUAUUUGGUAUAAAAGGAUGAAGAGAAACAAAUGAAGACAGAGCACGUGGAUGGCUGUGAAAAUCUUUAGAAAACAGUAGAAAAACUGAAAGCAUCAUUGUAAUGUGACAAUUCACUGUAAUUGUCAUAAUUAGUCUCUGCAUCCUUCCAACAUUAAAAUGGACUAGAUAUAAGCUUAUUCUUAAAGAGCAUUUAACUUACACUAAUGCGAACAGAGGUUGCUAACAGGAAACAUAACUCUAAUUUUUAUUUUACACUGGAUUAAGUCCAAUCUUGUAUCAAUGCUUUUUAAUUCAAUUAAAGAUUCAUUUUACUGCUAAAAAUAACUAUUUUAAAAGGAAAAUUAUCAGAAAAGUGCAUAUUUAUUUGAAUGUUUAUCUAUUAAAUGCAAUAAACAGUAAAUGUUAUUUUAUUGAUGUGUGACACAGAGACUAUAUUGAACCAUUUUUAUUUUUAAUGACCUGAUGUUGUAGCAAAAGAUUCAUGAAUUCUCAGUGACUGUUAACAUUGGAAUUUGGGUACUUUGUGUGUU